CUCAUUAUCAAACUGCUAUCCAACCACGUUUCCCAACCUAAUUCUGGUGAUCAAAGGGAAAAUCGAACUUGACGACUUGUUCAAUCGCUAGAAGGGGUCAACUGCCGGUGAUCGGAGGGUUACCAUUGGUUCAAUCGCAACCUCAACCACCUUGAAUUUUAGUAUGGGUAGGCGCAAACAACUACGCAUCACUUCUACAGACAUUAGUAAAAUGCAAGAUUAUCAAUCAAAUUCUCAUGAUGCACAUGGAAAAGGAAAUGAGUAUUUGGAAGCUAGACUAGCGAGGAUUCAGGAGAACCAAAAAAGACUACGAGAAUUUGGAGUUAAAAACAUUGUGGACUCUAUGGAAAGUCUGGUAGACAGUAACAAAAUGAAGAAAAAACAGUGAAGAAGAACACUCAUGCGGGGGAUGUAGACUAUAUUCCAAAUCCAGGUGAUGAUUGUGGAAGAUAACCAACAAGUUGGUAGAAGUGUUAGAGUACCCAAAAAGCGACACCGUUCACAAUAUAUUCCACCAAUGUCCAUGAAUAGAGCUGCUAAUCUCACGAAACUACGCCGGGUGCUUGCUCCAAAUGUCUCUCAAAAGGUUCCAUCUACUUCAAAUGCAACAAAACCGAAUAAAGCAGGAGCAAAUAGAAGGAUGAUUCUUGUUGAUGAGGAUCACGACGAGGACGAGGAAAUAUUUCAAGAUGACGCAUAUAAAGACAUAGACGAAAUACAAAUGGUAGAUCACAAUUAUUCUGAAGAUGAACACAAUGAUCAAGAACAAUUGCACGACCCUGAAAAAGAUAAAGCAACAGGUGCUCCCAAAAAGGUUAGAGGUCAUACCUAAAAGGCCGAAAUAUGGAAAAUGAAUACUGCUGAAAGAAUAGCCGUCACAUUUAACGACUUUGGACAACCAGUGGGGGAAGAAGGCAAAGAACUUGUUCAGUAUCUUGGGACACUUGUGAGGAUGGCUGAUCAUGUAUCAAUUGAGCAUUCUGACUGGAGAAAAGUUCCCAUGAAAAAUAAAGAGGAUAUGUAUUCACUUGUUAAGUUAUGUCUUUUAUCAAACAUGAUAUGCAUCCAUUCAUUAAGUUAAGAGGUAUACGCUAAUAUAUAUGUAAUUUUUUUGUAGUCCAAAUUUGCUAUUCAUCCAGAUGAAACAGGUCAGGUUAAAGAAUGGAUAUUCCAAAAAAUGGGGAAAAAUGGAGAACGUGGAAAGGUUUAUUAAAGUCACGGGGAUAUGAUCCAAGCCUUACUAUUGACGAAAUUGUGACGCAACAAACUAAUAAUGACGAUAGAGUGAAUCCAACUCAAUUUAAAGAACUUGUUACUCGUUGGUUCACUCCGAAAUUUCAGACUACAUGCGCUGCAAAAAGAUUGAGCCGCUCAAAGAUGAAGGAUCCUCAUGUAACCGGGACAAAGUUGUUUGCUAGACUUGCUCAUGAAGUGGCAACGAAGAAUGAUGGUGUAUACUCGACCCGAGGAGAAAUGUAUAUAAUAACAACUCGCAUUCGUAAAGACGAAAGUUUUGUUGAUGAUAAAGCAGCUAACGUUGUGGCUUCACUAAAAGCUAUUGCAAAUGACUCUGCAAGCAAACCCAUACGCAUGGUUUUACAAAUGAUGAAUACUCAAAAGUUAAAGGCCCAGAGAAAAGAGGGUAUGUUCGAUUAGUAGCCUACAGUUCUUAGCAAUAUAAACAUACAGGUCCCUCGCGUUGGUUCUUCGGCUCCUAGGAACUCGUUACCUAGCAACGAAUUAUCAUCUUCAAGAAGUGACGAUAUUGAUGACAGAGCUGAAAACAUGUGAAGCCUUGGAGGAAUAGAGAUAACAAGAUUAGUGGAUUGCUUGGAACUAAGUUUUUUUUAGAGUAUGAUUCGUAUCGAAAGAACGUUUUGACUUCUUUUGUAGACAUUCAUUUGUUUGCUAAGAUUUACAGUAUGUUUUGGAUCCAACUUUUAGUUGAAAUUAUGACAUUAUUAUUUUUCUACA